UAUUAUGAAUAAGUUGGAGGGGUAAAAUAUUUCCGCCUAAAGGAAGUGGCUGCAACGGUUUGCCGGAGAUCUAGAUUUUUCAUAGUUGCCUAGCCGGAGAUAUAGGAGGCAAGGAGAUAGAUAGAUCGAUCGAUAGAUCGAUGAUACGAUAGAUCGAUGAUAGAUUGAUCGAUCGAUCAUCGAUCGAUAGAAAGAUCUCUAUAAAAGAGAAAGAUCUAGGUCAGAUUCGAUGACAAUCGCUGGAAGGAGGAGGCAUCGCCGGAAUUCAACACAACGUCUUCUUCUACAUGCAUCAUUCUACUGACUCCAACGAUCUAAGAGACGCCUUACAGUGCUCAGUGUUGGUGUCGUAGCUCAGAACAUCCAACCUGUCUUUUCGAAAAUACUCCGAGAUCUGUAAAUAUUUGAUCACCAAUCAGGUGUUGCCUGAAUUUCUACUUGUAGAAGCAUAUGCGAAAGAAAUUAAGCAGUGUCAAUGGGAAGGUGGUUUCAGUGAGAUCAAGAUGGUUGCAGAAGAUUCAAGGUCUUACUUUUACUGGAGUUGGUUUCAGUGAGAUUCAAGGUGGGUUUGGUGAGUCAAAUCUAAGGUGAUUUCAGUGAAAUUUAAGGUAAUUUCUGUGACAAUCAAACUUAGUUUCUUGGUUUAUACACAUUUCAAUUCGAUUCAUUUGGGAAAAAAAACAAAAAACAUUACUAAAUAAUACAAUUAUACA